rnacentral:rRNA from 1 species
CUCUUCUCGUUAGUUUUUGAAGUAUGGCCUGCCCACUGACCUUGAAUGUUGAAGGGCCGCGGUAUUUUGACCGUGCAAAGGUAGCAUAGUCAUUAGUUCUUUAAUUGUGAUCUGGUAUGAAUGGCUUGACGAGGCAUGAGCUGUCUUAAUUUGAAUUGUUUAUUGAAUUUGGUCUUUGAGUUAAAAUUCUUAGAUGUUUUUAUGGGACGAGAAGACCCUAUAGAGUUUUACAUUUAUUAUGGUCUCUUUCUGUUUGUGAGGGUUCAUUAGGGCUGUUUAAUAUGUUUUGUUGGGGUGAUGGGAGGGAUAUUGUUUAACCCCUCCUUUAUGUUGUUAUAUUUAUUUAUAUUUGCUUGAUCCAUUUAUUUUGAUUGUAAGAUUAAAUUACCUUAGGGAUAACAGCGUUAUCUCCCUUGAGAGUUCUUAUCGGCAGGGGGGUUUGCGACCUCGAUGUUGGAUUAAGGUUUAUUUUCGGUGUAGGAGCUGGAAAGUUAUAUUGGGUCUGUUCGACCUUUAAAAUCUUACA